rnacentral:misc_RNA from 1 species
ACCCUAUUUGAUGUAUAUACGUAGGCUACGCUGCCUUUAUCACUGUGCUUCAAUAUCUGGCCACAAGUCAUUCGGUUUGGAUUUGUUUGAAACUUAAUUUCGGCUUAGUUUAAAAUGAAAAGAAAACGUAAAAGCAAAUCAGUCAGUACCCGUGCACAAAUAGAGCUCCCCAACCACAUGAACCACACUAUGAACGCGAUGAACAUGCAGAUGCGCUCGAUGAAUCGCCUGAUGAACAGCUUCAUGCCCGAUCCCUUCAUGCAGGUCUCGCCCUUUGACCAGGGAUUCCAGCAGAACGCUCUCAUGGAGCGUCCGCAGAUGCCGGCCAUGCCAGCCAUGGGACUUUUUGGUAUGCCCAUGAUGCCAAACUUUAAUCGCCUGUUGAACGCUGAUAUUGGUGCCAAUUCAGGCGCAUCCUUCUGCCAGAGCACCGUGAUGACCAUGUCAUCGGGUCCCGAUGGGCGUCCUCAGAUUUACCAGGCCAGCACUAGUACCAAGACGGGACCGGGAGGCGUUCGUGAGACCCGCAAGACGGUGCAGGACUCGCGCACUGGAGUGAAGAAGAUGGCCAUUGGUCACCACAUUGGCGAGCGGGCACACAUUAUUGAGAAAGAGCAGGACAUGCGCUCAGGACAACUGGAGGAGCGCCAGGAGUUCAUUAAUCUGGAGGAGGAAGAAGCCGAGCAGUUUGACAGGGAGUUUACAUCGCGCGCUUCUCGCGGAGCUGUGCAGUCAAGACAUCAUGGUAGUGGCAUGCAGGCCAUCAUGCCCGCCCGUCCAGCGGCACAAACCUCGACGUUGACCAUUGAGCCGGUGGAUGACGACGACGAUGAUGAUGACUGUGUAAUCCAGGAGCAGCAACCGGUUCGCUCCUCCGCGGGCCGCCAUUAUUCCACUGCGCCAACCGCACCGCAGAACAGUGGCAACAUUGCAACAGCAGCAGCACCAACAUCCUCGCCAACAACCUACGAUACAAGCAACGGAAACAACAAUAACUACGUGAGCUCUCGUCGUUCGUACCUGCGAAAUGGGCAUGGGCAUAGCCUGGCCACGCCGCGCCGCCCACUAAGGACACCCCCAUCCUCGCCGCUGGCCACGGUGUCCACUUCUCCAAGAGAUUGGCGUAUUUAUAAUUCGCGGUACCCCCGCAAGUAGAGCGGACACAGUACCAAAUACAUAAAAUGAAACCUAUGCUAAUCCAGUUAAAUAUCAUAAGUAAUCAAGUCAACAACGAGAAACACUCGACAUUCGGCUGUCUUCGACGUAACUACAUGCACUCUACUAACCGAAGGCGCCACCAACGCUACGAUCCGCUCCGCUCAGCUCAGCUCCGCUUCAUCGCCACAAGUACUUCGAACUUCGAACAGCAGCAACACCACAUCUACGUGCCGUGCCGGCAGCUCAAGACUACGGCCGCAAGCUACGUCAGCAUACAUCCACAUCCCUAUGCCGCCAAUCCGAGGCGCCAACAACGUGCCGUAAAACAUAAUCACACGGAGGACGAAGCGGCCAGC